UACGAAGGGGGCUAGCGUUGCUCGGAAUCACUGGGCGUAAAGCGCACGUAGGCGGCUUCUUAAGUCAGGGGUGAAAUCCUGGAGCUCAACUCCAGAACUGCCUUUGAUACUGGGGAGCUCGAGUCCGGAAGAGGUGAGUGGAACUGCGAGUGUAGAGGUGAAAUUCGGUAGAUAUUCGGAAGAACACCAGUGGCGAAGGCGGCUCACUGGUCCGGUACUGACGCUGAGGUGCGAAAGCGUGGGGAGCAAACAGG
rnacentral:rRNA from 1 species